UUGCUUCUUGCUGGACAGACUACCACCGGCUGGCUGGUUCACUCUAUAAGCCAUCCUUUGGAAACCAAGUGAUGGGAUAAGUAGCAGUAGGCAAUGGGUUUAUAGAAGAUGCUGCAGAGUAGCAGAGGUAUACCAGGCUAAUUUCUGGGAAUUGUCUCUUCCUUCCAUCUUGCUUUACAAGCACCAAGGCCAUGGAUGUAUGCCACCUCACCUAGUUUUCAUAGUUCGGGAGAGUCAAACUCAGGUUCUCAUGUUUGCAAGG